UCUAUCAUUAGCAUAGACAGGAAGGUAUUGGGGCAGCAGAUGGAUAGCAAAGUAAACCUCUAUGGUGCACAUUUGGAAUUCAGAUGGAUGGGAAAUGAACUUAAAUGCUAGAAUAGGCCAAUGAGAGUAAAAUUGUUUUAUCAUGCAAAAGAGUCUGGUUGAGAAACACCAGGAGGAAUAACACGUUUAUGCUGCUUUCAGUUGAUAAAAAGAAAAAAAAAAAGUAAAACAAAAUGCUUAUAUUACUUAGUGAAAUUAAACUCUAUAUUAUUUGCUUUAUACACUUAUAUUUCUCUGGAUCAUUCUUGGAAAGCUAAUAUAAUGGCAGUUGAAGAAGGAAAAGAAUGGUACAAAAGAUAGAUUCUCAGUUGCUGUGUGAUACUAGGACAAUUUCUUAGCUUUCCUGCAUUUUGUUAAGAGUAAAUGAUAACAAGUGAAUAUUUGAAUUAUUCACAAUAAGUGAAUAAUUAUUACCUGAAGUACACUAUUGCACAAAUUAAUAAUUACAAGAGUUUUAAUUUCUGGCAGAAAAGCAUUCUUCAAUCUUUCAAAAAUGCAUGAUUAGCCACCAGUAGAAAGUAAACCUACAAAGUUUCAACAUCUUCAUUUAUACCUGUGAUCAGAUCAACAACUGUCUGACAAUAUAGCUGAGGUUUUUAUAACAUUGUGUCUUCAGACUGCCUGUUCCAGAAUAUAUAUAAUUUAUCUAUUUCUGUGCCCUAAAAAUGAUACUAUAGGCUGAAAUAAAAAGAUAUAAGAAGAGAAUUCUAUAUUUUUUUGAAGUUGAUAGAAUUACUGACUGAACCAAAAUUUAAAUUAAACUUUGAACGCUACUGGUCUAGUUAUUAUUUUAAUAAUGAAUAUUAUAAAAUUUAAAUUUUAAUACACUUUGUAAGUGGCUAAGGUGCCAUACAGAUUUUAUUAAGAAAUUUUAGAAAGUAUUAGCCUCUGUGAUUAUAUAUUUUUCAACCUUUUGUUCUUCAUCAUUUUAGCUGAAAUAUCAGUAACUUAGUAUUCACACUUUCCCCUCAAAUAACUCAUACUUGCACAGGUUUUUACCUCCGCCUACUCUCAGCAUGGAGUAUCCCCUUUCCACUUUCCAUGUCUUUUUAAGCACUGUAGUCAAGGUCAAGAGAUGUUUGAGUUUUAAUUAGUUUUGUGUAUUUUUUGAAGCUCAAAUAUCAUAUCUAUAAUUUUAAACCUUUGGCAGCAAUGAAACCUAGGGGAACUGAUUGGAAGAUCAACUAAGAGGGAAUAACACCAUGACAGUGGCAAGAGGAAAAGCAGCUAAAGUUAAUUUAAUGGUAUAUUAAAACAUGCAUUUUAGGACACAACAACCGAUAGAAGAGAAGGAUGAAGACAGAAAAUGACGGAGUUUUGUAAAUUGUCCAGUUUUGCAGUGUUUCUCUCCCUCUCUCCAGGAGGUUAUAUACUCCUUGGAAAAAGGAAUCUUGUCUACUUUGGACACUGAUCGAUACCAGCACUUGUGGCAUUUUCUAUUGGUAUAUACAAGAAGUUUGACCUCUCUGUCUUGCAGGUGAAGAUAUUUUGACUUCAGAAUGAACAAGAGGGUAUUAUAAUUCUCUGCAGGCACUGAAUCUCUAGCCAUUGAUCUGUGUGUCAUUUCAACAGACUUUCAGGCAGAGCAAUGUUACAGUCUGGCAGCAGAUCAUGAAGGCCUGAAGAAACCUCCUAUUCUGAUUAAUAAAAGAAAGUAAAUACUUCAAAUUUGUUUAUUUUACGUGAAAGGUAGCCUGUGGUUGAACAUAUACAUGUAUUACCUUUUGAAAAUCAACAAAAAUAUUUAGUUUGAUUCCAAUAACAUUUGAAAUCAUGGAUUCAUAUAUCAGACAUUGAAUUAAAGAGGAAAAAGAGCAUUGGAGUAUAAACACUGAAAAAUGAUGUAAAACGAAGAAAGCAGUGGCGGGGGUGCAUAAAACAGACACUUGAGAAAUUUUUCAGGCAUGAUUCUUUGUCUUCUUGAACUCUGAUUUAAAGGUUGCUUAGCAACAGUGGCAGUAACAGCUGGGACACCCUUGAUCUUGUUGUGUAAACUAUUAAAAAUAGGUGAUGGAAAGUGGCACCAUGGAAACAAUGACUCUACUGAAGCAGGUGUCUGUAAUGCUGCUUUGCAAUCUAAUGUUAGAGGCGUAAAUUACAAAAGGCAGAAAAAUGAAGUAACCAUGGCUUUCAUUCUCCUAAUCUUUGAGUAUGGUGAAAGGUAUUUAUUUUCCCCGUCUAUAUUUUCCUUCAGUUUCCCAAGCCUUUUGGUGUAAUCAGUUGUUGAUAAUUUUAACUGAUUACUUGAUAUUAAAUUUUUAUUUCCAAAUUUCAAAAA